rnacentral:rRNA from 1 species
AGCAGCCGCGGUAAUUCCAGCUCCAAUAGCGUAUAUUAAAGUUGUUGCAGUUAAAAAGCUCGUAGUUGAAUUUCGGGGUUAGUAGGUUGAUCAUACCUCUGGUAUGUACUGGUCUCACUGAUUCCUCCUUCCUGAUGAACCUUAAUGCCAUUAAUUUGGUGUUUUGGGGAAUUUGGACUGUUACUUUGAAAAAAUUAGAGUGUUUAAAGCAAGCUAACGCUUGAAUACAUUAGCAUGGAAUAAUGAAAUAGGACGUUCGAUCCUAUUUUGUUGGUUUCUAGGAUUGACGUAAUGAUUAAUAGGGAUAGUUGGGGGCAUUAGUAUUCAAUUGUCAGAGGUGAAAUUCUUGGAUUUAUUGAAGACUAACUACUGCGAAAGCAUUUGCCAAGGAUGUUUUCAUUAAUCAAGAACGAAAGUUAGGGGAUCGAAGACGAUCAGAUACCGUCGUAGUCUUAACCAUAAACUAUGCCGACUAGGGAUCGGAUGAUGUUAAUUUUUUAAUGACUCA